GUGGGGACCGGGGGUUGGCCCCGCCGGAGCCCCUGGAGCCGCCCCGCCCCGGGGAGCGGAGGGGAGAAGCAGCGGGGGCGGCGGGGCCAGCCAGUGUCCACGGCAGCUCCCCCAGGCCUGAGCCCCAUGUCCCGUCGCGGCCGCACUGCCUCGCGGAUACAAGGAAAACUCGAAUCUUCUGAUAAUCACAAUAUAAGUACAUAUCCUGAAGGAAGUAGGCAGUUUGAGGCCCAUUGCCCAUCACUAAUUCAUUAUGAGUUUAGUUUGAUUUGAGUCAUUUCACCAGGAAAUUCUGUACAAGCUUCUGCCUAUACUAGUGUCAUCAUGUCUCUCCCACCACAUAAUGAGUCUGAUGAAGAGAGUGAGCUUCAACAUCGUGAGGUCAACAUACACAGCACAAUGCAUCAAGGGCUUAACAAGAAAGGGACAAGCUGGUAGGGCUUCAAAGGCAGCUCAAAGACAGUAGUUAAGAGUACACAACAGAAACCUAACCUGAACUUGGAAACAUCACUGUCCUGAGUCUAAACCAGCUACAAAGGAAAACAACCUACAGAUAGUGAAAGCAUUUAUGCCACAGCUGGGAAUAUGUGGACCAACGACAGGCGCACUCCUAUAAGGAUCCAGCAUCUUCUGUCCCAAAUUUUGGUUGUUCCCAACCUCAGUACCAGCUGUAGCUACUGUCAAUAUAGCAUUUACAUCUUUCUGUUAAAAGAAACAGAUCUGCUAAUGUUAUAUAAUGCUCUCAGUUUCUGUAACUAAAACUAUCUAAAGUCUUUGUUGAUGGUAUCUGAAGGAAACACGAGUACUGAAAGGCAUCUUCUGGAGAAGAACAUUCUCCAACAUUUGCCUGUAUUCUGCUGGACUCCCUGUGGUUUUAGUAGUACUAACAAAAUAGGACCUUAAUUUUAGAGGUUGGUCAGCUAUAGCAAAUAAAUGUAAAAAGCAAUUAAAUGAGCUUACCCUAAACACACAAGAUCUCCUUUAGAAAAAAUAAGGGAAAUACAAAGACAUCAGAAUCUUCCAGCCUCAAACAUCUAUCAAGAAUAAUCCAGUUCUUUCUUAUGUUUUCAUACCAGAAGAGCAGCAAAUGUUCAGAUUUUCUUCACAGUGAGACGAGUUUGGUUAUUUGAGGCAGUUAGGGAAAAUCACAAAUCUCACAAGCACUCUGAGCGCUACUGCUGAACAAGAUAGCAGAAAGCAAUAUUACUUCUUUGCAGCUAUUGCAGCACUGCACAAAAAAUG